rnacentral:rRNA from 1 species
CAGUCGCCGCGGUAAUACGAAGGGUGCAAGCGUUAUCCGGAAUUAUUGGGCGUAAAGAGCUCGUAGGCGGUUUGUCGCGUCUGCCGUGAAAGUCCGGGGCUCAACCCCGGAUCUGCGGUGGGUACGGGCAGACUAGAGUGAUGUAGGGGAGACUGGAAUUCCUGGUGUAGCGGUGAAAUGCGCAGAUAUCAGGAGGAACACCGAUGGCGAAGGCAGGUCUCUGGGCAUUAACUGACGCUGAGGAGCGAAAGCAUGGGGAGCGAACAGGAUUAGAUACCCGUGUAGUCCCUGUCUCUUAUAA